UAUCAGGAACCAGGCACAGGGACAGGAGCACACACCAUGAUUUCACACAUCCAGCUGAUCUGGCCCCUGGCAUUCUGUGUCGCAGGUAUCAGUGGGGACAUCAUCAUGACUCAGUCUCCCCCGGUGCUGUCAGUGGGACUGGGCCAGACUGCAACCAUCAUCUGUACGGCCAGUCAAAGCAUUAGCAAUGUCCUUGCUUGGUACCAGCAGCGAGAAGGGCAGAAACCUUCUCUCCUGAUCUUCAAUGCAGCAACUCGAUUCACAGGAGUCUCCGAGCGAUUCACCGGCAGUGGAUCAAGGACCAGUUCCACCCUGACAAUCAGCAACGUUCAGAAUGAGGAUGUCGCUGACUAUUACUGUCAGCAACGUAACAGCUACCCGUUUACGUUCGGUAAAGGAACCAAGCUCAGACUGAGCCGUGAGAACUCUCAGCCAAAGCUGACCCUGCUGCCC